CCAGACUCCUACGGGAGGCAGCAGUGGGGAAUAUUGCACAAUGGGCGAAAGCCUGAUGCAGCAACGCCGCGUGAAGGAAGAAGGGUUUCGGCUCGUAAACUUCUAUCAACAGGGACGAAGGAAAUGACGGUACCUGACUAAGAAGCCCCGGCUAACUACGUGCCAGCAGCCGCGGGAAUACGUAGGGGGCAAGCGUUAUCCGGAUUUACUGGGUGUAAAGGGAGCGUAGACGGCUGUGCAAGCCAGAUGUGAAAGCCCGGGGCUCAACCCCGGGACUGCAUUUGGAACUGUGUGGCUGGAGUGUCGGAGAGGCAGGCGGAAUUCCUAGUGUAGCGGUGAAAUGCGUAGAUAUUAGGAGGAACACCAGUGGCGAAGGCGGCCUGCUGGACGAUGACUGACGUUGAGGCUCGAAAGCGUGGGGAGCAAACAGGAUUAGAUACCCCCGUA
rnacentral:rRNA from 1 species